CAGCCGCCACGGGAAUACAGAGGGUGCGAGCGUUAAUCGGAUUUACUGGGCGUAACGCGUGCGUAGGCGGCUUCUUAAGUCGGAUGUGAAAUCCCUGAGCUUAACUUAGGAAUUGCAUUCGAUACUGGGAAGCUAGAGUAUGGGAGAGGAUGGUAGAAUUCCAGGUGUAGCGGUGAAAUGCGUAGAGAUCUGGAGGAAUACCGAUGGCGAAGGCAGCCAUCUGGCCUAAUACUGACGCUGAGGUACGAAAGCAUGGGGAGCAAACAGGAUUAGAUACCCCUGUAGUCCCUGUCUCUUAACC
rnacentral:rRNA from 1 species